rnacentral:rRNA from 1 species
GACGAACCGUGCGAACGUUGUUCGGAAUCACUGGGCUUAAAGGGCGCGUAGGCGGGCUGUCAAGUCUGGGGUGAAAUGCCGCGGCUCAACCGUGGAACUGCCUUAGAUACUGACGGCCUCGAGGAAGGUAGGGGCAUGCGGAACUGUAGGUGGAGCGGUGAAAUGCGUUGAUAUCUACAGGAACUCCGGUGGCGAAAGCGGCGUGCUGGACCUUUUCUGACGCUGAGGCGCGAAAGCUAGGGGAGCAAACGG